GGCGGCGCGGCGGCCGCCGCUGCCGCUGCCGCGCCGCCCGCCGCCGCCGCCGCCGCAGCCGCCGCCGCGCAGGCUCCAUUUUCCUGCUCGUCCCCGCUGCUGUUGGUCCGCCUGCUCUUCUUCCCCUUGCUGCUCUUCUGGUUGGGCAUUUUCCGCUUCUGUCGUCGACGGUGGUGCGGGACUUCUAUCUGCAGCUGGCGCCCGCUGCUUUCGGGGACUCCAUUUGUCGGGCUCGGAUCGGUGGCGUGGGUGCAGGGGACGGGGCGGAGGGUGGUCGGCCUCCCGGCGCUCGUCAGGCCGCUGAAGCCGCGCUCGGAGGCUGCGAUCACCUGUAGCAGCGAAGGACCCCGGCGUCGGCUGUCAUCUCCGUGUGCUGCGUUCAGGACCCGACAGGAAAUCCCAGCUUCCAAGUCCACCGGCAACCCGCCGCGCUCACGGGACCAGAUCAAAGGUGCAAGUCACUUGGAUUGUGAACCGAUGUUUCAGUGAAUAUCGAUGAAGCUUCCGACACCGGCAGCUGCGGUUGGAAGAGGCCAGUCCACUUUAACGGAUGCAGGCGGUUCCACCCGGGCUGGGUCUCCUGGACCCGCUGCUGACCCCAGGAACCUGGCAGCAGUGUGGCCGGCAACAGAUCAGCGGAAGGAAUGGAAGCGCUAAACAAGACGGUGGUGUCGCUGGACAUUUAUUGAAGAUGUUUUGGUCCUGAGAAACGUUACAAACCCUGUCAUGACACAAAAGAGACACAGUGGCCCAGGAGGUGACCUUCUACACAAUCACGCUCCAGAAGAGUCCUGAAAGCACGUGGCCUGCUGGAGGUAGAGAGUCUGCAAAAGCGUCUGGAGUAAGCACAAGCAGGUUUGGGGUUUUUGGCACAGUGAUGUCAGACCGUCCAGUGGAAUCGCUCCGUCCACAUCUGGACCCGGACAUCCGGGUCAGCCCUGCAGCAGCACCACGUCCACGUUGUCAUGGACGCCCUGGAGAAGCAGCUCGCCCUCAAAGGUCACAAUCUUCUUCCGCUUGGCCGCCCUCAGCGUGCCCACCAGCGCCUCGAAUAUGUUGGCGCAGCGGUCAUCUCUGAACAGGACGCCGAACUUCACGCACGUCUGGCCCUCGGCGUCUGGAAACACACGAGCGACUUGACUCAAACAGCAUUACAAGUCGAAUGGAACUGGUUAGGAUGGUCACACUAAAGGUGCAGGUCUAAUCACAACGAUAACUGGCAAUUUAGGAUGUAAAAUCAUCUGCAGAAUUUAAUGAAAAAAGCAGAAAUGACAGGAGCAGGUCACAUGACUCGGCUGUGGCGGGUUUUCACAGUGAAGUGGGACAAGUUUGUGGCCCAACAAAGCAGAACUGGGACUCACUCUUACUGCCCAGGCGGGUGAUCUCCUCCACCAGCAGGUUAACUUCGUGAUCCACAUUCAUGGUGGCUGAGGAGGGGAAAAAGACAUUACUUUCGCUCAGCACCAAACUUCAUUGGAAUUUUCAGCGUUUUAAGAGGCGGAAGUUUUAUCAUCUAAUCCUCCAUAAAACCAUCCAUUUUUUAAAACCACACUGGCUGUUAGGUCCGACUACGUUCACAAUCAAGACUUCUAUUGACUCAUUCGAAUAAUUUAGCUUUAGUUUAUUAUUAUCAAUUAAAAACUUAAUCGGCUGUUGCGUCACUUGCCAAUGAACCACUGGGGAAUAAAGGAUGAAUGUCACAACUUUUAAACUUGUUUUUUUGGGGUUUUUUUUGCCAACAAUCACCCCGAAUUGUAGAUAAUAAAGCAGCAUUACUGAAAACAUUCCUGGACUGAACACGGUGACGGUAACCGCGCCAAAAGAACGUGGUCACGCCAAACUAAGUGAGUUUUGAAUUGAGACUGGUGUUGAAACAGCUCCUUUAACAGGGGCGUUUAAGUCAACUGGAGGGGUUUUUGUGCAGCAACGAGCGAAGGGAAACGCGCGUGGCAGGACGACAGGCCGAUCCGACUUGAAUUACGGUUCGAUAAUACCAACAAGAUCGGACAGGACCAGGGCGGACCCACAUCAAUGCGGAAACGCGAGGUGAGCGUUCAGAACCGGGCGUUAAAAGCAUCGUACAAGUCGGUCAUUUCAGACAUUCCAGCGUGUCUUUUCUUCUCCGGUCUGGAUCAGAAGGCGAUGCUCGGCGGUCCAAGAAAGAGCCGGUGUCGUCGGCGUCGAACCCGCCGACAGAUGGACUUGGGAGCCAGAGGCGACUCGGGUUUGAGCGCGACCCAACACGGAGCAGUGGCUCGCUUCUACUCACCUGAGACGCUGUUGGUGGACCGGUGCUCUGGGAUCUUCCGCCUCUGAGACUGGACAAUACUUAGUGUGGCUUCGGUACCGGCACAGUGUGCUGCGUUCAGGUACCCUCGGGAAUUGUGAAUCCUUUCAGAAACCGUGGUGAAGAUACUCCGCACACACAUGUCGGAGGACCCAAUAAAAGUGUGUCUAAAUACAUAGCGCCUCGCUCCUUCUCUUGCACUAACGUG